rnacentral:rRNA from 1 species
UGCAGUCGUCGGUGACGACCAGCUUGCUGGUCUGAUCAGUGGCGAACGGGUGAGUAACACGUGAGCAACCUGCCCUUCACUCUGGGAUAACCACGGGAAACGGUGGCUAAUACCGGAUACGAGACGUACCUGCAUGGGUGGCGUCUGGAAAGAUUUAUCGGUGAAGGAUGGGCUCGCGGCCUAUCAGCUUGUUGGUGGGGUAAUGGCCUACCAAGGCGACGACGGGUAGCCGGCCUGAGAGGGCGACCGGCCACACUGGGACUGAGACACGGCCCAGACUCCUACGGGAGGCAGCAGUGGGGAAUAUUGCACAAUGGGCGCAAGCCUGAUGCAGCGACGCCGCGUGAGGGAUGACGGCCUUCGGGUUGUAAACCUCUUUCAGCAGGGAAGAAGCGAAAGUGACGGUACCUGCAGAAGAAGCGCCGGCUAACUACGUGCCAGCAGCCGCGGUAAUACGUAGGGCGCAAGCGUUGUCCGGAAUUAUUGGGCGUAAAGAGCUCGUAGGCGGUUUGUCGCGUCUGCUGUGAAAACCUGAGGCUCAACCUCGGGCUUGCAGUGGGUACGGGCAGACUAGAGUGCGGUAGGGGUGACUGGAAUUCCUGGUGUAGCGGUGGAAUGCGCAGAUAUCAGGAGGAACACCGAUGGCGAAGGCAGGUCACUGGGCCGCAACUGACGCUGAGGAGCGAAAGCAUGGGGAGCGAACAGGAUUAGAUACCCUGGUAGUCCAUGCCGUAAACGUUGGGCACUAGGUGUGGGGCUCAUUCCACGAGUUCCGUGCCGCAGCAAACGCAUUAAGUGCCCCGCCUGGGGAGUACGGCCGCAAGGCUAAAACUCAAAGAAAUGACGGGGGCCCGCACAAGCGGCGGAGCAUGCGGAUUAAUUCGAUGCAACGCGAGAACCUUACCAAGGCUUGACAUACACCGGAAACUUCCAGAGAUGGUUGCCCCGCAAGGUCGGUGUACAGGUGGUGCAUGGUUGUCGUCAGCU